UACGAGGGGAGCAAGCGUUGUUCGGAUUUACUGGGCGUAAAGGGCGCGUAGGCGGCCACGACAAGUCACUUGUGAAAUCUCCGGGCUUAACUCGGAAAGGUCAAGUGAUACUGUCGGGCUAGAGUACAGAAGGGGCAACUGGAAUUCUCGGUGUAGCGGUGAAAUGCGUAGAUAUCGAGAGGAACACCUGCGGCGAAGGCGGGUUGCUGGGCUGAUACUGACGCUGAUGCGCGAAAGCCAGGGGAGCGAAGCGGG
rnacentral:rRNA from 1 species